rnacentral:misc_RNA from 1 species
AACGCACAUUGCGCCCCCUGGUAUUCCGGGGGGCAUGCCUGUUCGAGCGUCAUUUCACCAAUCAAGCACCGCUUGGUAUUUGGGCCCGAUGGUCGUGACAGACCUGCCCGCAAGACAUCGGCUAGGCUCUGAAAUUCCUGCGUGUAAGAAAUCUCUCACGAGAACGUGGACGAAUGGAAGGGCCCUGCGCCGCGAAACCUCUCCUCCAAAGGUUGACCUCGGAUCAGGUAGGGAUACCCGCUGAACUUAA